rnacentral:rRNA from 1 species
GACGAACGCUGGCGGCGUGCCUAAUACAUGCAAGUAGAACGCUGAAGAGAGGAGCUUGCUCUUCUCGGAUGAGUUGCGCACGGGUGAGUAACGCGUAGGUAACCUGCCUUGUAGCGGGGGAUAACUAUUGGAAACGAUAGCUAAUCCCGCAUAACAAUGGACGACACAUGUCAUUUAUUUGAAAGGGGCAAUUGCUCCACUACAAGAUGGACCUGCGUUGUAUUAGCUAGUAGGUGAGGUAAUGGCUCACCUAGGCGACGAUACAUAGCCUACCUGAGAGGAAGAGCGGCCACACUGGGAGUGAGACAGGCAACAGACGGCUUCGGGAGGAGGCAGAAGUUAUUCUUGGGAGAGGGGCGCAAGCUGAAACGAGAAAAGCGGGGGGAGUAAAGAAUGAGUUCGGAGCGGAUAGACCUGUAGUAGGUCAGGAACCGGGGUUAGAGUGGAAAGAUAACACUGUGACGGUAACUGAGCAGAAAGCGACGGCUAACUACGUG